UGCAAAGUCAGCUGCUCUAGCAGUAGAGUGCCGUUCUACUUUACUACUAACAAUACCUACAUCUGACUUUCAGACUAAGGUGUUUGCUGGAUAAACACCCAACACUUCUUGAUGUGGUUGGUUUACAUUGGCUCGGCUGAUCCUGACGGAUAUUUGUCACAGGAAACCCUGACUCAUCGAAACAACUGGUGGAAUGACACGUCUCAUCACCUACACACCUGUGAAGAACAUCCUUUUGGACUGGAGUUACUGUGACUCGUGAUAGUUGCAGCUGGAAAACUUCGCUGCCUUCUGACUUCCUGGCAUCCCUCUCCAGCAUCCCGUCAUCCAGAUCCUUCCCCACUUCUAUAAUUCAGAUCAGACGACAUGCAGUUUCUUUUCACAACAGGAAAAAAGCACAGCUUUCCAUCCAUGCAUUCCUGUAUUUACCUUCCAAGGCUUAACAAGAAAAAAAAAGAUUUCCUGAAUUCCAACAUCAAAGUAUAGUGUGUGUGUGUGUGUAUACACACAUAUAUACACUGUAUAAUACGCUGAAUCCAUGUGAA